CCUACGGGAGGCAGCAGUGAGGAAUAUUGGUCAAUGGACGCAAGUCUGAACCAGCCAUGCCGCGUGCAGGAUGACGGCUCUAUGAGUUGUAAACUGCUUUUGUACGAGGGUAAACCCCGAUACGUGUAUCGGGUUGAAAGUAUCGUACGAAUAAGGAUCGGCUAACUCCGUGCCAGCAGCCGCGGUAAUACGGAGGAUCCGAGCGUUAUCCGGAUUUAUUGGGUUUAAAGGGUGCGUAGGCGGUUUGAUAAGUUAGAGGUGAAAUGUCGGGGCUCAACACGGAAACUGCCUCUAAUACUGUAGAACUAGAGAGUAGUUGCGGUAGGCGGAAUGCAUGGUGUAGCGGUGAAAUGCUUAGAGAUAAUACAGAACACCGAGUGCGAAGGCGGCUUACCAA
rnacentral:rRNA from 1 species